rnacentral:rRNA from 1 species
GACGAACGCUGGCGGCGUGCUUAACACAUGCAAGUCGAACGGAAAGGCCCUGCUUUUGUGGGGUGCUCGAGUGGCGAACGGGUGAGUAACACGUGAGUAACCUGCCCUUUACUUUGGGAUAACUUCAGGAAACUGGGGCUAAUACCGGAUAGGAGCUCCUUCUGCAUGGUGGGGGUUGGAAAGUUUCGGCGGUUGGGGAUGGACUCGCGGCUUAUCAGCUUGUUGGUGGGGUAGUGGCUUACCAAGGCUUUGACGGGUAGCCGGCCUGAGAGGGUGACCGGCCACAUUGGGACUGAGAUACGGCCCAGACUCAUACGGGAGGCAGCAGUGGGGAAUAUUGCAAAAUGGGCGGAAGCCUGAUGCAGCAACGCCGCGUGCGGGAUGACGGCCUUCGGGUUGUAAACCGCGUUCGCCUGUGACGAAGCGUGAGUGACGGUAAUGGGUAAAGAAGCACCGGCUAACUACGUG